GACGAACGCUGGCGGUGUGCUUAACACAUGCAAGUCGAACGGUAAGGCCCUUUCGGGGGUACACGAGUGGCGAACGGGUGAGUAACACGUGAGUAACCUGCCCUCAUCUCUGGGAUAACAGUCGGAAACGGUUGCUAAUACUGGAUAUGAGCUUGCAAGGCAUCUUGUGGGUUGGAAAGAUUUUUUUGGUUGGGGAUGGACUCGCGGCCUAUCAGCUUGUUGGUGAGGUAGUGGCUCACCGAGGCUUCGACGGGUAGCCGGCCUGAGAGGGCGACCGGCCACAUUGGGACUGAGAUACGGCCCAAACUCCUACGGGAGGCAGCAGUGGGGAAUAUUGCACAAUGGACGGAAGUCUGAUGCAGCAACGCCGCGUGCGGGAUGACGGCCUUCGGGUUGUAAACCGCUUUCAAUUGUGACGAAGCUUUUUGUGACGGUAGCAGUAGAAGAAGCACCGGCUAACUACGUG
rnacentral:rRNA from 1 species